rnacentral:rRNA from 1 species
GAUGAACGCUGGCGGCGUGCCUAAUACAUGCAAGUCGAGCGAACAGACGAGGAGCUUGCUCCUCUGACGUUAGCGGCGGACGGGUGAGUAACACGUGGAUAACCUACCUAUAAGACUGGGAUAACUUCGGGAAACCGGAGCUAAUACCGGAUAAUAUAUUGAACCGCAUGGUUCAAUAGUGAAAGACGGUUUUGCUGUCACUUAUAGAUGGAUCCGCGCCGCAUUAGCUAGUUGGUAAGGUAACGGCUUACCAAGGCAACGAUGCGUAGCCGACCUGAGAGGGUGAUCGGCCACACUGGAACUGAGACACGGUCCAGACUCCUACGGGAGGCAGCAGUAGGGAAUCUUCCGCAAUGGGCGAAAUCCUGACGGAGCAACGCCGCGUGAGUGAUGAAGGUCUUCGGAUCUUAAAACUCUGUUAUUAGGGAAGAACAAAUGUGUAAGUAACUAUGCACGUCUUGACGGUACCUAAUCAGAAAGCCACGGCUAACUACGUG